rnacentral:lncRNA from 1 species
GAUAAAACACGGAGGCUUCCCAAAUUGACUGGAGCUAAUGAGUUGUCUUUGUUACAAAUAGCUCUGGGAAAGUAAGUCAGAAGAAAGAAGGAACAUUUUCUGCAGCCAACAAACAUGGUGUACCCGAGGAUUCUGCAGUUGACUACAUAUGUUGCUUUACUGGUGUUCCUUGGUCACAUCUCCUGUUCUGAGAUUGAGAACCGAUCUGUGUCAGACUCAUGUUCAACACACACAAUUUUACCUGGACCCAAAGGUGA